rnacentral:tRNA from 1 species
GCCCCUGUAGCUCAGCUGGAUAGAGCAACUGCCUCCUAAGCAGUGGGCCGUGCGUUCGAAUCGCGCCAGGGGCACCA